AUUGAACGCUGGCGGCAUGCUUUACACAUGCAAGUCGAACGGCAGCGCGGGCUUCGGCCUGGCGGCGCGUGGCGAACGGGUGAGUAAUGCAUCGGAACGUGCCCAGUAGUGGGGGAUAGCCCGGCGAAAGCCGGAUUAAUACCGCAUACGACCUGAGGGUGAAAGCGGGGGACCGAAAGGCCUCGCGCUAUUGGAGCGGCCGAUGUCGGAUUAGCUAGUUGGUGGGGUAAAGGCUUACCAAGGCGACGAUCCGUAGCUGGUCUGAGAGGCCGACCAGCCACACUGGGACUGAGACACGGCCCAGACUCCUACGGGAGGCAGCAGUGGGGAAUUUUGGACAAUGGGGGCAACCCUGAUCCAGCCAUGCCGCGUGCGGGAAGAAGGCCUUCGGGUUGUAAACCGCUUUUGUUCGGGAAGAAAUCCUCUGGGCUAAUACCCCGGGGGGAUGACGGUACCGGAAGAAUAAGCACCGGCUAACUACGUG
rnacentral:rRNA from 1 species